UAAAUAAUUAUAAGCAUCCUAGUAAAAAAAGUUUCGAAAAAAAUCAAACCGAGACUGAUCCACCUCCUUCGGUUGACUUGAAUAAAAAGUUUUCAUUGGCUCAAAAGGAGAUUGUUCACCGAACUGUCAGCUCGGAUGGUUAUUUGGUUACUGAGAAAAUUCUUGUAGAUGACGAAAAUCCCAAUCUUGCCAGGAGUGAGGAUAUUGUAUUUGCAGCUCCGAAACAAAAAUAUCAACAGUUAGCAGAAAAUUUCAAGAGAAAAAAAUCGAAAGGCAACCAAAAAACCCUGAAUUGUUUUUUUG